rnacentral:rRNA from 1 species
GUGGGGAAUCUUGCGCAAUGGGCGAAAGCCUGACGCAGCCAUGCCGCGUGAAUGAUGAAGGUCUUAGGAUUGUAAAAUUCUUUCACCGGGGACGAUAAUGACGGUACCCGGAGAAGAAGCUCCGGCUAACUUCGUGCCAGCAGCCGCGGUAAUACGAAGGGGGCUAGCGUUGCUCGGAAUUACUGGGCGUAAAGGGCGCGUAGGCGGACAGCUUAGUCAGAGGUGAAAGCCCAGGGCUCAACCUUGGAAUUGCCUUUGAUACUGGCUGUCUUGAGUUUGGGAGAGGUGAGGGGAACUCCGAGUGUAGAGGUGAAAUUCGUAGAUAUUCGGAAGAACACCAGUGGCGAAGGCGACUCACUGGCCCAAUACUGACGCUGAGGCGCGAAAGCGUGGGGAGCAAACAGGAUUAGAAACCCUUGUAGUCC